CCUACGGGAGGCAGCAGUGGGGAAUAUUGCACAAUGGGGGAAACCCUGAUGCAGCGACGCCGCGUGAGUGAUGAAGUAUUUCGGUACGUAAAGCUCUAUCAGCAGGGAAGAAGAUGACGGUACCUGACUAAGAAGCCCCGGCUAACUACGUGCCAGCAGCCGCGGUAAUACGUAGGGGGCAAGCGUUAUCCGGAUUUACUGGGUGUAAAGGGAGCGUAGACGGCGGUACAAGCCUGAUGUGAAAGCCCGGGGCUCAACCCCGGGACUGCAUUGGGAACUGUGUGGCUGGAGUGUAGGAGAGGCAGGCGGAAGUCCUAGUGUAGCGGUGAAAUGCGUAGAUAUUAGGAGGAACACCAGUGGCGAAGGCGGCCUACUGGACGGUGACUGACGUUGAGGCUCGAAAGCGUGGGGAGCAAACAGGAUUAGAUACCCUGGUAGUC
rnacentral:rRNA from 1 species